rnacentral:rRNA from 1 species
UACAGAGGUCUCAAGCGUUGUUCGGAUUCAUUGGGCGUAAAGCGUGCGUAGGCGGUUGGUUAAGUCUGCUGUGAAAGCCCUGGGCUCAACCUGGGAACUGCAGUGGAUACUGGCUAGCUAGAGUGUGAUAGAGGAUGGUGGAAUUCCCGGUGUAGCGGUGAAAUGCGUAGAGAUCGGGAGGAACACCAGUGGCGAAGGCGGCCAUCUGGAUCAACACUGACGCUGAGGCACGAAAGCGUGGGGAGCAAACAGG